AUGUAUGAGAGGCUGCCUUUUCACUGCUUUUCCUUUGGGCUUAUCGGUCACUGUUCGGUGUUGUGCCCUAACCCCGGCAUGAGGGAUGCGAAUGGCGACCUACCGUAUGUGGCAAAGAAGCUCUGCAUUGCUGAUGAGAGUCACAAAAAGUCUGGUGGUUCGCGAUCAUCUACUACUUCUUCCUCUGCUGGGGUGGCUGACAAGGCAGGUGGCUCCCGUUCGGCCCAUCUGGUCGGGCUGCAGCAGGCGUGCCUGGGGCCUCUACUGCAGUGGACGGCGAGGUUUCCUCUCCUCUCAAGCGGGCUGGUCGGGGCCGCGGUCGUGCUCCCUCCUCCCGUGGGCAAGGGAGGGGAAGGUCGGUUUCUACAACCAGGGAGUUGUUCUCGAGUGGUCAGGAUAAAAAUGGCACAUCGAGACAGAAGAGAAAAUCGGCCAAGUCUCUCCCAUCGGCGCCGAUCAGUGAGCAGGAACCGGCUUAUUCCAAUGCUCUUGCCCUGGUCUUGA
rnacentral:rRNA from 1 species